UUGCACUUCAACAGCAUUUAUACUAAAACUGGAACCAUACAGAGAAGGUUAGCAUGGCAAAAGCAAGUCACAGAUUUUCUUUUAGCAUUUCUGAGUUUU
rnacentral:snRNA from 1 species